rnacentral:rRNA from 1 species
UACGGAGGGGGCUAGCGUUGUUCGGAAUUACUGGGCGUAAAGCGUACGUAGGCGGCUUUGUAAGUUAGAGGUGAAAGCCCGGGGCUUAACCCCGGAAUUGCCUUUAAGACUGCAUCGCUUGAAUCAUGGAGAGGUUAGUGGAAUUCCGAGUGUAGAGGUGAAAUUCGUAGAUAUUCGGAAGAACACCAGUGGCGAAGGCGACUAACUGGACAUGUAUUGACGCUGAGGUACGAAAGCGUGGGGAGCAAACAGG